ensembl:lncRNA
GUGGGUGGGCCACGAAGUCACGUGACCCUGACGCGCUCGUGAACCGCACUCAGGGAAGUUGUUUUCCGUUACUUCUACUUUUAAAAUGUGAAGUUUAACUUAGAAUAACGCUAUUCGAUCUGUUCAGCCAAAAGGUGGUCUACAUCCAUAAAGAGCUUGUGGACGCAGAGUACAAAGAUGUCCAAGCUGGCUUCCCGUAACUCUCAGCUGCUGCUGGCGGAUCAGAAGUGUGCUAGAUGUCUGUUAGAGACGUAUGUCAAGCGGAGCCUCAGCCUCAAUGAAGGGUGCCGGAAACAUCAGCUGAAUAAGCUCAAAUGGCUUAAACCAGAAAGACAGUCCAGACGGGCGUCCAGUGACACCUCCACCCACCGUCUGAGAGUAGAGAGGUUCCUGAAGACCGGUGAGUGUCCUGAAUGCACAUCACAAGAGCUGGUCACUAGGAGUAAGAGCACCAAAGCACCGAGCAGAACCAAAUCACUCUUCAGAGGCUUCCUCCACCUCUUCUCUAAGAAGAAGACUGAGCCCAAAGUGAAAGAGGAGCGAGUUACAGAAACAGACUCUGGACAGUAUACGACAGAGCGGGGGCUUCGCUCUUCUCAUAACGGCUCACCUGGCCACACUGAGACUGUGAGGAAGAAACACUCUCUGAGGAGGAUCUUCUUUAGCAACCAAAAUGAUGAGAAAAGAGAAACAUUACGAAAGGACUGCUCUCCUGUUCCUGGUGGCGUGGAGGGGCUUUCAGACGUGAGCGUGGAUUCUGAUAAUGCAUACUUUGAGAAGGUGUCAGAAGAGCUGGAGUUGAUUGUGAAGGAGAUUCAGUUCAGUCCAAACGAAGAUGGUGUUCCGCUGCUCUCUGCUGCUUCUGCAGGAAACUGCAGCUCUUCAGGUGAAGACACUACAGAGAGGAUCAUCAGCCUGCUGAAGCAACAUGGGGAUAUUAUAGAUCAGAAAAUAAGCAGGAACAAGAGCGUCCAAGACUUCCUCCAGAAACUGUCUUACAGCUCCUUCCAGCGGCUCGCUGAUCGCUACAUAGCGCAGAUCCCCAGUCCUCUUCCCCAGACCACAGACGCCUCUCCUGAGCUGGUCAGACUGGCCUUCACCCUGGACUUUACUGCCAAAGUGGCUGGAUUGUGCAGCCAGACGGUCGGUCGAAUCAUGGGGUUUGGGAACCAGUACCUUCAGGAUUCCUUCACACAAAUGUGUGCAGCCCACAGACAGGUAAUACAAGGGCAAAGGUGUAAUCGUGGGAGUAAAGUAAUAGGCCACAGUGGGGUCUUGCUUUAUGUUACAAAAAUGCACACUUUUAGAGACUCUUUUUGA